rnacentral:lncRNA from 1 species
AUCUGGAAAUGGCGUAGACGGAAGACCCACUGCAUGUUAUGAUUUCCAUUGCUCCUGCUUCUGGUAAAGGAACUCAAUGCCACCUGAUCACCAACAAAGUGACCUAUAUAUUAUUGACUAUUAGUUUGAACCUGAUUUAAUGUUCCAGAGUUCUCUGUACUAUAAAUUAGAUAAAGCCACCUCCACUGUUCAUAACUGACAAACAUAAAUAAACACUAUAAUGAUUGUCUCUAUUGUCUUUUUUAGUAUUAUUUGAUACAACAUACCUUUGUUAACUUUAACUGAUGUCAUACUGAAGUUGCAUUAGGCUGUCUAGUUAUUAUAUGUAUUGGAAUUAAUAAGAUUGAACUAUGAGUGAAGGGAUCUGAUUAGAUUAAUUUUCAUUUAGGAUUGUUAUCAAUUUGAAUGCUAAUAUAUGCUAGUAUAUGACAUGUAUCCUUUAGCACUGAUAUAUAUCAUGUUUAGAUCUUAUGCUUGAUACCUUAUGUUUUGUGGCAUUGCCUUCACUCUCUUAAUAGGAACUUUGAUAAGUCGUGUUCCUUUCAUGUUCUAGAGAUUCUAUUUUUCUCAUGUUGGGUUUUUACUAUUGUGACUUCCAUAAAUAAACUAUUAUGCUUAUUGUUUCUAAGUUUUGUUUUGACGCUGCAUGUGUAGAUAUCCCUUUUAAUCUUUUCUUUAAUUAUUGGUUCUGUUUUUCUUUUUCCUAUUGUAAAUGAUGUUCCUCUUUUGACAGAUUAUUUGAAGGAUUUAUGCAAAGUGAGUGUGUGGAAGAGUGAAGCAACANNNNNNNNNNNNNNNNNNNNNNNNNNNNUGUCUAUGACUACUUUAACUUUGUGGAAAAUGUGAGUGUCAAAUUUGUGUGUUUUUGUUUGCUCAUUUCUAUGAAGUCUGAAAUCAAUUUUAGUUUUAGUUUUACCUUGUAAGUGUCAUUUAUCUCUCUCAUUCUCAAGAUAAUGAGCUUUUUUUUUUAUUGGUGCUUCAGAUGCUUAAAAUCUUUGGAAUGAUCCUUGUAUCUGUUUGCAGUGAAGAAACUGAAUGUUAUAGUUUUCAAGGACUAGAGUGAUGCACAAUUUCUUGAACUGAUAUCCAACAUCUAAUAAAUUUAGCAUGCCAGUAUUGCAAAUGUAGAAAACUAUAUAUUGAAUAUUGUCAUGUUCCAAUAUUUAAUUAUCUGUGCUUCUUUCUGGUCAAUAAUUAGUAUCCCAAAACGGGUUUUAUACCACAAGCGCCUAACAUCUAAUUGAUCGAUAUUAGACAAUGAUUUGAUUCUAACCUCCACAUCAUAUCAUUUGGUAAGUAUCCUAUCAUUUGAUUAUAUUAUUUUAAUAAACCUAAACACUUUUUCAA